GGCCCCUUAGCUCAGCCGGAUAGAGCGACAGAUUCCUAAUCUGUAGGUCGCAGGUUCGAGUCCUGCAGGGGUCG
rnacentral:tRNA from 1 species